ACCUAUCAAGUUCAAUUUAUGUAUUUUCUCAAAAGUUCCUAUCUACAGCAUACAAGAUUGUUCUUCUGUUGCAAGUCCAAUGCAAUAUGGAAAUCUAAUUCAUUUAUUUUCAAUAUUGACGUACGUAACCAGAUAUCCAAAAGCAAUUUGAUAUAUGAAGAGAAUUGCGCCCAUCCGCAACUAUGACAUUAUCAGAAGGCGUGGUUGCUAAAUCAUGAGGAUAAAACGGUCUAUCUUCAGUGUUGAUUACUGAAUGUCCAAAAUAGGUAUUAAUAAUGUCCUCACGCCCCA
rnacentral:lncRNA from 1 species